rnacentral:rRNA from 1 species
UGGGGAAUAUUGCACAAUGGGCGAAAGCCUGAUGCAGCAACGCCGCGUGAGUGAUGAAGGCCUUCGGGUUGUAAAGCUCUGUCUUUUGGGACGAUAAUGACGGUACCAAAGGAGGAAGCCACGGCUAACUACGUGCCAGCAGCCGCGGUAAUACGUAGGUGGCAAGCGUUGCCCGGAUUUACUGGGCGUAAAGGAUGCGUAGGCGGAUUUUUAAGUGAGAUGUGAAAACCCUAAGCUUAACUUGGGGACUGCAUUUCAUACUGGAAAUCUAGAGUGCGGGAGAGGAGAAUGGAAUUCCUAGUGUAGCGGUGAAAUGCGUAGAGAUUAGGAAGAACACCAGUGGCGAAGGCGAUUCUCUGGACCGUAACUGACGCUGAGGCAUGAAAGCGUGGGUAGCAAACAGGAUUAGAUACCCCUGGUAGUCCACGCCGUAAACCGAUGAGUACUAGGUGUAGGAGGUAUCGACCCCCUUCUGUGCCGCAGUUAACACAAUAAGUACUCCGCCUGGGAAGUACGAUCGCAAGAUUAAAACUCAAAUGAAUUGACGGGGUCAUAGCUG